AGGGUAAAUAAGUCAUUUUAAAAAUUAACCAAUCUUUAACCAUGUAAUAACUAUAGUAAAACUAACAUAACUAACAGUAGGGGUAUUAAUGAUAAUUUUUUGUUUUUACAGGGGUAUUGGUGAUAUUUUAAACUUUAUAGGGGCAUGUAUGAUAUUUUAAACUUUGGGAGGGGUAUCCAUGAAAUUGCCCCAAAAAAUAAUAUCAAAAAAAUAUAAAUUUUAAUUUCUAGAUAUUUCAAGUGGUAUAAAUUAUAUUCAAUAGUACCGAUCAUUAAUUUAAAAACUCCAUCAUAAAAAACAAAUGGAUGGCACCAAAAACUACUUGCUACCGAUAGCAUUUCAACUAGGGGUGUGAUGUGGGCCGUGCCAGCAUUCUUGCUACCGAUAGCAUUUCAAGUAGGGG
rnacentral:lncRNA from 1 species